rnacentral:rRNA from 1 species
GACGUAGGAGGCAAGCGUUGUCCGGAAUCAUUGGGCGUAAAGCGCGUGUAGGCGGCCAGGUAAGUCCGUUCUGAAAGCCCGGGGCUCAACCCCGGGAGGCGGAUGGAUACUGCUUGGCUCGAGUCCGGAAGAGGCGAGUGGAAUUCCCGGUGUAGCGGUGAAAUGCGCAGAUAUCGGGAGGAACACCAAUGGCGAAGGCAGCUCGCUGGGACGGUACUGACGCUGAGGCGCGAAAGCGUGGGGAGCAAACAGG